rnacentral:tRNA from 1 species
GUAAAGUCAGCUAAUCAGGCUCUG